ensembl:antisense 4833422C13Rik RIKEN cDNA 4833422C13 gene
ACUUUGCUUCCUUCCUUUUCCCACGCUCUCUCUGGCUUCCACGCCAGCCUAGCGCAUCCCUAAUUUCAGACACUCCAGUCCUUCAGGAUCCCCGGACAGUAUCACCUCCCUGGCCACCAGCAGCAGCCCUCCCCGCCCGACGGUGCCCUCGCGUGGGCCGGCACCUACCCGCCAGGCAAGCGGUGGUGUCCAUCCACUUGAGCAGCUGCCCUGCGCUCAGCUCGCCGCGGGAGUCGGCAUGAGCCGGCUGGAUGGCCUGGCUCAUGAGCACCUCGCCCGGCGCCACCAUCGACUCCAUCGUCCUGGCUGAGAGAACCCCAGACGCCAGCAGCAGGCCAUCCCGAUCCCCUGGGGCCCGCCCCCGCUCCAAAGGGCGCUGCCCGCGCCCGCUGCCAGGUGCUUAGGAGUGGAACAAAGUGGGAUUCAGUAAGAAUGCAGUGACCUGUCUGGGACCAAGAACUGACAUGAAGACUAGCGGUGAUGCUGUGGCUUAUCAUUCUCUGACAUCCCUUCUCAUCCAGGAUGAGGAGGAUUUAUUAGUUUUAUUUUAUAUAUUGGGUUUGUGUGGUGUGCAUGCAUGCGUGCAUGAAUUUUUAUGUGUUUGUGAGCACAUAAACAUGCAUUUGGAGGCCAGACAUUGAUGUCAGGAGUCUUCCUUGAUCAUUCUCUGUAUUUUGAGGGGAAGGCCUUUCUCUUGAAUCCAGAGCUGGUGUGGCUAGUCUGGGUGUGUGGCUUACUCCAGCAUCCAUCUCAUUUCCACUUUCUAAGUGCAGAGGUUAUAUGAAGAUGGCCAUCCCUACCUGGGAUUUAUGAAGGUGAGGUGAUCUGAAUACUGUCCUCUGACCCCUAUCUUCUGGCCCAUGUCUCCCUGCUUUCCUGAGGAGCCUUGCAGGGCCCCAGAAACAUCCAGCUUAUAUCAUUCCCAAGGUAAUCCCCUGUCUGCUGGGUCCACCAGGGGCACAGCUAGCAGAGAGGGGCUACCUGGGGCACAGCCAGCAGAGUUGAAUAGUGUGCUAUUUCCUGAGAUCCACUGUCAGGCUCAUGGCUCUAGCUGUCUCCCCUGGGAUUGCUGCUGGCAUCUGGAACGUCCAGCCAACACCAGGGAUAACCAGAUUGAAAAGGGCAACAUAAAAAUACAAUCAACAAGAACCAAGAGCAAUAUGACACCACCAAAGCCCAGCUAUUCUGCUACAACAAGCCCUGGAUAUCCUAAAACAGCUGAAGCAAGAAGAUGACCUUAAAUCCAAUCUUAUAAAGAUGACAGAUGCCUUUAAAGAGGAAAUGAAUACAUCCCUUAAAGAAAUACAUGAAAAUACAAUCAAACAGGUGAAGGAAAUCAAUAAAAAUGUACAAGAACUGAAAAUUGAAUUAGAAGCAAUAGAUAAAUACAAUCUAAGGGAAUCCCAGAGACAGAAAACCUAGGGAAAAGAACAGGAACUGUUUACCAACAGAAUACAAAAGAUGAAAGAGAGAAUCUCAGGCAUAGAAAAUACAAUUGAAGAAAUGGAUACAUUAGUCAAAGAAAAUGCUAAAUCUAAAAAGUUCAUGACAUAAAACAUUCAAGAAAUCUGGGACACCAUGAAAAGACCAAACCUAAGAAUAAUAGCAAUUGUAGAAGAUUCCCAGCUACAAGGCCCUGGAAAUACUUUCAACAAAAUCAUAGAAGAAAAUAUCCUCAACCUAAAGAAAAACAUUCCUAUAUACAUACAAGAAACUUACAGACCACCAAAUAGAUUCUACCAGAAAAGAAAAUCCUCCCACCACAUAAUAAUUAAAACACUAAAUGUACAGAACAAAAAAAAUAUUAAAAUUUGCAAGAGGAAAAGGCCAAGUAACAGUCAAUACUAUCAGAAUCACACUUAGCAACAGAGACUUUAAAAGCUAGAAGGGCCUGAGCAGAUGUCUUGCAGAUGCGUAGAGACCAAUUGUCAACCCAAACUGCUAUGCACAACAAAACUUUCAAUCACCAUAGAUGGAAAAAACAAGAUAUUUCAUGACAAAUCAAAUUUAAACAAUAUCUAUGCACAAAUCCACCCCUAUAGAAGAUAUUAGAAGGAAAACUCCAAUCCAAGAAGGCUAACUACAC